rnacentral:pre_miRNA from 1 species
AAAUGCUACGCUUACCACAUUUUUAUACCAUACCACCUUUUUAUACCAUACCACCUCUUUAAUAAAGAUGAUCCUAUUUUAUUGGUGGGCUCUAUCUCUAUCAGAAAUGUAGUAUAUAAUGUGGUAUAAAAAUGUGGUAAACCUAACAUUA